GACGAACGCUGGCGGCGUGCCUAAUACAUGCAAGUAGAACGCUGAAGGAAGGAGCUUGCUCUUUCUGGAUGAGUUGCGAACGGGUGAGUAACGCGUAGGUGACCUGCCUGGUAGCGGGGGAUAACUAUUGGAAACGAUAGCUAAUACCGCAUAAAAUUGAUUAUUGCAUGAUAGUCAAUUAAAAGGUGCAACUGCACCACUACCAGAUGGACCUGCGUUGUAUUAGCUAGUUGGUGGGGUAACGGCUCACCAAGGCGACGAUACAUAGCCGACCUGAGAGGGUGAUCGGCCACACUGGGACUGAGACACGGCCCAGACUCCUACGGGAGGCAGCAGUAGGGAAUCUUCGGCAAUGGACGGAAGUCUGACCGAGCAACGCCGCGUGAGUGAAGAAGGUUUUCGGAUCGUAAAGCUCUGUUGUAAGAGAAGAACGAGUGUGAGAGUGGAAAGUUCACACUGUGACGGUAUCUUACCAGAAAGGGACGGCUAACUACGUG
rnacentral:rRNA from 1 species